UUCCCUUAACAUAUCCAUCUUGAAGAUUAAGGGAAAAGGAUGCAAAAGAAGUUCUGAUAAAAACAAUGGCUUCUGCAUCUGAAGAAGAAACGUCUUCUGAUGAUGAUCAACCCAGAAGAAGAAACGUCUUCUUUGGCUUUUAACUAAGUGAUUAUUUUCAAUCUGAUGGCAUCGAUUGUUCCGUCGUUCAUCAGCGAUUCCAGAACAUCAUUCUCAUUAACAAUCAGAUCAUCUGGUCUGUACUUCCAAAAGUUAGGAUCCUGCCUCAAUAGAGUUUGAACUUCUUCCUUCUCAACAUAUAAUAUUGUGGAUCAGCAAGAAAGCCAACAAAUGAAAUGUAUUCAACAGGUACCUGUUGAAGCCUGUUAAUCUCGUGGAUGAAAAACUCGAGUUAUUGAACGAUCUACAACUGCAGCAUCAGGCAGUGACAACAAAGACAAAACUCUGCAUGAUGCACGUGAUUGACUGGUUAUGGAGAAGCAAAGACUUAUUUUAGUUUGCGGAUUCACUCCGCAAUAAGCUCAAAUUCUUCCAUGAACUGGAAAAUGUUGCUACCAGUUUUUAUUCAUUGAACAUGAAUGUCUUUUGUACUUUGAAGGUUCUGCCCAUUAACAAGAGCCUUCAGAAAACACAGAACUGCUGCUAAAACAAUA
rnacentral:lncRNA from 1 species